rnacentral:rRNA from 1 species
UACGGGGGGAGCAAGCGUUGUUCGGAUUUACUGGGCGUAAAGGGCGCGUAGGCGGUCGUGACAAGUCACUUGUGAAAUCUCCGGGCUUAACUCGGAACGGUCAAGUGAUACUGUCGGACUAGAGUACAGAAGGGGCAACUGGAAUUCUCGGUGUAGCGGUGAAAUGCGUAGAUAUCGAGAGGAACACAUGCGGCGAAGGCGGGUUGCUGGGCUGAUACUGACGCUGAGGCGCGAAAGCCAGGGGAGCGAACGGG